AAGUCAGAUGUGAAAGCCCCGGGCUUAACCUGGGAACUGCAUUUGAAACUGGUCAACUAGAGUAUGGUAGAGGAAAGUGGAAUUUCUGGUGUAGCGGUGAAAUGCGUAGAUAUCAGAAGGAACAUCAAUGGCGAAGGCAGCUUUCUGGACCAAUACUGACGCUGAGGUACGAAAGCGUGGGGAGCAAACAGGAUUAGAUACCCUGGUAGUCCACGCCGUAAACGAUGAUAACUAGCCGUUGGGGGGAUUUACCCUUUAGUGGCGAAGCUAACGCGUUAAGUUAUCCGCCUGGGGAGUACGGCCGCAAGGUUAAAACUCAAAUGAAUUGACGG
rnacentral:rRNA from 1 species